rnacentral:rRNA from 1 species
CCCUUAGAUGUUCUGGGCCGCACGCGCGCUACACUGAUGCAUUCAACGAGUUUCUUCCUAGUCCGAGAGGAAUGGGUAACCUUUUGAAAGUGUAUCGUGAUAGGGAUAGACUAUUGCAAUUAUUGGUCUUCAACGAGGAAUUCCUAGUAGACGUAGUUCAUCAGACUGCAUCGAUUACGUCCCUGCCCUUUGUACACACCGCCCGUCGCUCCUACCGAUUGAAUGCUCAGGUGAGCCAUUCGGACUUUCAUCAUGCUGGUUUCCAGUUUUGAUGAAGGAAAGUCUUGCGAACCUUAUCAUUUAGAGGAAGGAGAAGUCGUAACA